rnacentral:rRNA from 1 species
UACGUAGGCCGCGAGCGUUGUUCGGAAUUACUGGGCGUAAAGAGUGCGUAGGCGGUUUUCUAAGUUUGGUGUGAAAUCUCCCGGCUUAACUGGGAGGGUGCGCCGAAAACUGGAAGGCUUGAGUAUGGGAGAGGUAAGCGGAAUUCCUGGUGUAGCGGUGAAAUGCGUAGAUAUCAGGAGGAACACCUGCGGUGUAGACGGCUUACUGGACCAUAACUGACGCUGAGGCACGAAAGCGUGGGUAGCAAACAGG